CCUAAAAUCAGAAGGAGCCCUUUUUAAUUAGGAGCUGUGGACCCAACGUUCAAGUUCCUGAAGUUUGGCUGCCAUCCGGGUCCUGAAAAUAUCCUGGGGUUCCUGGACCUGCUGGGAAAUGACCUUCCUUACUUACAUGCACAGAACUCCUAAAACACUUGGAAUUUCCUAAGUGAUGAGAGCCAUAAAGAUAUCUUUUGUUAUGCUAUCGAGUGACUUUGGGACUGCACCUAAAGAUGGGGACUGGUCUCCAGGAGAACCAACUUUAUGGUUAAAAGGUUGGAACUUUCAUUCCUAAGCCCCUGACCUCCAGGGAGGGAAGAGGGCCUGGAGGUUGAAUCAAUUAUCGUUGGUCAAUGGUUUAAUCAAUCAUACCUAUGUAAUAAAACUUCCAUAAAGUCCUAAAGGAACUGGGUUUGGAGAGCUUCCAGGUUGGUGAAAAUGUAGAGAUUCAAGGAGAGGAGGGUGGCAUGCUCAGAGAGAGCAUGGAAGCUCCACACCCUGUUCCCCAUGCCUUGCCUUAUGCCUCUCUUCCAUCUGGUGUUCCUAAGUUAUAUCCUUUUAUAAUAAACUGGUGAU